rnacentral:rRNA from 1 species
AGUGAACGCUGGCGGUAGGCCUAACACAUGCAAGUCGAACGGCAGCACAGUAAGAGCUUGCUCUUACGGGUGGCGAGUGGCGGACGGGUGAGGAAUACAUCGGAAUCUACUUUUUCGUGGGGGAUAACGUAGGGAAACUUACGCUAAUACCGCAUACGACCUACGGGUGAAAGCAGGGGAUCUUCGGACCUUGCGCGAUUGAAUGAGCCGAUGUCGGAUUAGCUAGUUGGCGGGGUAAAGGCCCACCAAGGCGACGAUCCGUAGCUGGUCUGAGAGGAUGAUCAGCCACACUGGAACUGAGACACGGUCCAGACUCCUACGGGAGGCAGCAGUGGGGAAUAUUGGACAAUGGGCGCAAGCCUGAUCCAGUCAUACCGCGUGGGUGAAGAAGGCCUUCGGGUUGUAAAGCCCUUUUGUUGGGAAAGAAAAGCAGCAGGUUAAUACCCCGCUGUUCUGACGGUACCCAAAGAAUAAGCACCGGCUAACGUCGUG